GCUCCAGUGGCGCAAUCGGUCAGCGCGCGGUACUUAUAAUGCCGAGGUUGUGAGUUUGAACCUCACCUGGAGCA
rnacentral:tRNA from 1 species